GACGAACGCUGGCGGCGUGCCUAAUACAUGCAAGUUGAGCGAUGAAGAUUGGUGCUUGCACCAAUUUGAAGAGCAGCGAACGGGUGAGUAACGCGUGGGGAAUCUGCCUUUGAGCGGGGGACAACAUUUGGAAACGAAUGCUAAUACCGCAUAACAACUUUAAACAUAAGUUUUAAGUUUGAAAGAUGCAAUUGCAUCACUCAAAGAUGAUCCCGCGUUGUAUUAGCUAGUUUGUGAGGUAAAGGCUCACCAAGGCGAUGAUACAUAGCCGACCUGAGAGGGUGAUCGGCCACAUUGGGACUGAGACACGGCCCAAACUCCUACGGGAGGCAGCAGUAGGGAAUCUUCGGCAAUGGACGAAAGUCUGACCGAGCAACGCCGCGUGAGUGAAGAAGGUUUUCGGAUCGUAAAACUCUGUUGGUAGAGAAGAACGUUGGUGAGAGUGGAAAGCUCAUCAAGUGACGGUAACUACCCAGAAAGGGACGGCUAACUACGUG
rnacentral:rRNA from 1 species